rnacentral:rRNA from 1 species
UACGGAGGGUGCAAGCGUUAUCCGGAUUCACUGGGUUUAAAGGGUGCGUAGGUGGGCAUGUAAGUCAGUGGUGAAAUCUCCGUGCUUAACAUGGAAACUGCCAUUGAUACUAUGUUUCUUGAAUUUUCUGGAGGUCAGCGGAAUAUGUCAUGUAGCGGUGAAAUGCUUAGAUAUGACAUAGAACACCAAUUGCGAAGGCAGCUGACUACAGGGAUAUUGACGCUGAGGCACGAAAGCGUGGGGAUCAAACAGG